UACGUAGGGCGCAAGCGUUGUCCGGAAUUAUUGGGCGUAAAGAGCUCGUAGGCGGUCUGUUGCGUCUGCUGUGAAAACCUGCGGCUCAACCGUGUGGUCUGCAGUCGAUACGGGCAGGCUGGAGUUCGGUAGGGGAGACUGGAAUUCCUGGUGUAGCGGUGAAAUGCGCAGAUAUCAGGAGGAACACCGGUGGCGAAGGCGGGUCUCUGGGCCGAUACUGACGCUGAGGAGCGAAAGCGUGGGGAGCGAACAGG
rnacentral:rRNA from 1 species